rnacentral:misc_RNA from 1 species
GGGGUGGGUGUGGUGUGUUUGGUUGUUGACUGUUGAUGCAACAGACACUUGGCAACAAAAAUGACGAAGAAGAAAAUAUGUAGCUGUGAAUUCUUUCAAAUAUGCAGAAAAUGCUAAGCACUGUCCUAUUUUUCAUAGAGCUCGUUUCUAAGAAAUUUAUGAAUUGUCUGCCUGUGGGCUGUGGCGUUACCUCCUCGCAACAGUGUCGAACUGGAUCCGUGAAUCAUUAUCUCAAUAUGCAGGGUUUUUUUAGAGCGGAGGGUGAGCUAAAUUGAAUACGUC